UACAGAGGGGGCAAGCGUUAUUCGGAAUUAUUGGGCGUAAAGGGCGCGUAGGCGGCUUUUCAAGUGACGGGUGAAAUCCCUCGGCUUAACCGAGGAACUGCCUGUCAGACUGGAAGGCUUGAGACCGGGAGAGGUGAGUGGAAUUCCCAGUGUAGCGGUGAAAUGCGUAGAUAUUGGGAGGAACACCAGUGGCGAAGGCGGCUCACUGGACCGGAACUGACGCUGAGGCGCGAAAGCUGGGGGAGCAAACGGG
rnacentral:rRNA from 1 species